rnacentral:piRNA from 1 species
AUACAUAUUUCGCAAAUGGGA